AAUCAGCAUUAGAACGCAGAGAAAACCGCGACUUAAUUGGUACUAGGUGGCCGCCAUUCGACAUACGAACACGUGGCGAGAACAAAGGAUGGCGGCCAUCUUAAAACUCACAAAUGCGGUCAGCGGGGCUUACGCAUGAACUGCCUGGAUCUAAUUUUGGCACGGCAAACAUGCGAACGCCCGGUCCCCAUGGAAGUCCUGGAUGAAUACAUUCCCCUCCACGAAUCAAAC